GAUGAACGCUGACAGAAUGCUUAAAACAUGCAAGUCUUUGGCGAAGCUGUGCUUGCACAGCCUAGCCAAGGCGGACGGGUGAGUAACGCGUAAGGAACUUGCCCUGCAGUCAGGGAUAACAGACGGAAACGACUGAUAAGACCUGGUAAAGUCAGGCGGACUCAUGUCCAGCCUGAUGAAAAGAGAUGCUGCAGGAGAGCCUUGCGUCCUAUUAGCUUGUUGGUGGGGUAACGGCCCACCAAGGCGAUGAUAGGUAGCCGGCCUGAGAGGGUGGACGGCCACAAGGGGACUGAGAUACGGCCCUUACUCCUACGGGAGGCAGCAGUGGGGAAUAUUGGACAAUGGGGGCAACCCUGAUCCAGCAAUUCUGUGUGCACGAUGAAGGUUUUCGGAUUGUAAAGUGCUUUCAGCAGGGAAGAAAAAAAUGACGGUACCUGCAGAAGAAGCGACGGCUAAAUACGUG
rnacentral:rRNA from 1 species